UUGCCGCUGAGUUAUUUUUCAGAAAUGUUGUGAAGUACUUCGGUUUACCCGAAAACAUCAUAAGUGAUAGGGAUACCAGAUUCACGGGGAGAUUCUGGACCGUGUUGUUCGGAUUGUUGGGAUCCGAACUUAAGUUCUCUACUGCCGCCCAUCCUCAGACCGACGGACAGACGGAGAGGAUCAAUGCCUUGCUGGAGGAGUACCUGAGGCAUUACGUGACGGCAAGUCAGAAGAAUUGGGUGGAGUUGCUGGAUGCUGCGCAGUUUUGCUAUAAUCUGCACAAGUCAUCCGCAACCAAGUUGAGUCCGUUCGAGUUGGUGAACGGGCAACAACCUCUGACUCCGCAUGAAGUUACCCUUCAAGACGGGAGUCGUUGCCCAGCCGCACAUCAGUUUGCUCGUGGCAAGCAGGAACUGGUGGACGAAGCAAGGGAUAGCUUGCUGGUGGCGCAACAACGCAUGAAGAAGUAUGUGGGCCAACAUAGACGAGACUUGGAAUUCCAAGUGGGAGAUCAAGUGAUGCUGAAGUUGACUUCCCAGAUUUGGAAGAAAGUGAGCUGCAAAACCGUCCAUCGUGGGGUCAUCCCGAAGUACGAUGGACCGUUUGAGGUGAUCAAGAAGGUGGGUCAUGUAGACUAUCGGUUGAAGUUGCCUGACCGACAAAAGAUCCACCCGAUCUUCCAUGUAAGUUUCUUGAAACCCUUCAACCAAGACGAGAUGGAUGAAGGACGGAGGCAAGCAAAACGUGCCCCGCCAGUGAUCCGCAAGCCAUUCCAGAAGGAGGUGGAAGCUGUGCUGGACCACAGAACGAUGGGGCAGAGCAAAAAGAACAAGCGGACAAAUUACCUGAUCCAAUGGAAGGGCGACACCGAGUUGGAUGCUACUUGGGAACGGGACGUGACAUUGUGACAGUUCGAAAAUAAAAUUGCUGAGUACCUGAGGAACGUGCGGAAGCAAGCCAAGUUGACGAGGGCGUCAACCUCUUCAGGUAGAGGUGGUUUGUUAGCCCCUUAGGGCGCGGUCCAGACGGAACGAACACGACCGUGGCCAAGUUCGGCCAAGCCAUGGUGUAGGUGGUACGCCGAAGGUGAAGCUUGUUGGAAACGAGUGGAUCCAUGUGUGAUGAUGUUUUCCUAGCCUAAGUAUGGGAUGGGGAAAGUUCUAGGGGCAUCAGGUGCCUCUAGGUUAGUUGGGGACAGAGGGGUGCCUCUACUAACGGUUGGAAGUUUUCCCUUAAGACACCUAUAUAGAGGGAUAACUGUAACUAAUCCAAGUCAAGGCCGUGGGCCAAGUCCACGGAUUGACUAUGAUUCGGUGGGAUGUUUUGGGUGGUUCCAAGGGUUAGGAACCAAGGUGCCUAAGAUUGCUAAGUGUUGGGGCAAGUUGGGCGCGGAACGUUGCGAUGGCAGGAAACGGAGCGCGCAGAAUGGUGCAGCAGUUGCUGUGCGCGCCGGAGAUGAACGUUGGGCAGUUGCUAACCGUCGAUGGCAGUUACUGGGGUUGCUGGCAGUUACCAGCCAACUCGGCCCUUGUUCCUAGUUGGUUUCUAAUUUCGUGGACGUUCAGUUAAGACCAGCGGUUGGGUCUUUUGUCAACCGUAACAUGCCUAUAAAUAUUGGGCUAGGCAGAGACUAAAGGGCAGAGAGUCUCAGAUAGUGAGAAUCACCCUUACAUGUUCUGCACGCCAAGUGUUUGUAGAAAUUCCUUGUAAACGUUAUUAUGCAAUACCGGAUUGGCCGUGUUGGCUGUAACUUGUGCGUGUGAUCCUUUACUUUACCUAAAUGUUUUGUGUUCUAAAUACUUGCGGAAAAGUAUGUCGCGUAGGCUGACUGGUAGAGGGACUUACCAGUGCCAUCACGCGGUUGGUUUAAUUGAGGGAGUUAAACACCUCGUGACAGCGUGGGAUCAGAGCACGACUCUGAUCCAUUAGAUCGUACUUUUGUUGUUUUUGUUUUGUAGGGAAUGAUGGUUGGACACGGAAACACUGUCCAAGAGCGGUUGCAACGUCAGGAAUCCGCGUUCGAGAACUUGAUGCAGCGUCUGGGAGACGUUCCAGAGGGUUCAAUGUUGUGGACGCUUUGUUGCAGACCCGAGAAACGAUCAACGCCCUGAUCGUGCAGAUGGACGAAACCCGGGCUAUGGUCUCCUCUGUUGGGGAUGUUGAAUCGUUGAGGAACGAAGUGGCUUCGUCCCGUGCUGAGAUCACGACUUUGCAGUCGGAGAUCGGUGUGUUGAAGAAGGCGGUUGGCUCUUCCAACACAGACCAUUCAGAAAUCUUCGAGAGGGAAAGUGAAAAUCCCCGAGCUGAAACCGUAUCAGGGGAGUAGGAGUUCGAAGGAUCUGGAGAACUUCUUGUGGGAUGUUGAACAGUACUUCAAGGCUGCUGACGUUCCAGAAGGAGAGAAGGUGUCCAUUGCAUCCAUGUACCUUAGCGAGGAUGCAAAAUUGUGGUAGAGAACGAUGCAGUCAGACCCCACCAGGCCCAAGAUUGAGACUUGGGAUGUGCUGAAGGAGGAAUUGAAGAAACAAUUCCUUCCCACGAAUGCCUCGUGGAAUGUUCGGGACGCGUUGUGGAACUUAAAGCAGAACAAGAGCGUUCAUGAGUAUGUUGCUGAGUUCCAGGCCCUGAUGUUGGAUGUGAAGGAGAUGUCUGAGGAAGACAGACUCUACACCUUCAUCCGUGGACUGCAGUCGUGGGCGCAGACGGAGUUGCGAAGACAGAAUGUUCAGACCGUGUCUCAAGCACUCGCUGCCGCAGAGAAGUUGAUAGACUUCAGGUCCCCGGGAUCCAACGACAGGAAGAAGGAGAAGGGCAAAGAGAAGGGCAAGGAUCAGAAAGGUGGACCGUUCGCGAAAAAGAAGAAAAAGAAGCAAUCGGUGGUCACAAAUGAGGCCGGUGGUGCUACUUCUUCUAAGGAAAAGCAGGCACCGAAUCUGAAGAAAGAUGGCUGCUUUAAUUGCGGAGGACCACACUUGACCCGCAAUUGUCCCAAUAAAAAGAAGGACCAGAACGUUAGUGCCUUGGUAGCUGAAGAUGAUGGCCACCAGUACGAGAUGCAGGACGCACGGUUCAACCCCAUGUAGUUCAUGAAUGCCAUCACAAGUACUAAUGGCCGUUCUACUUGUAAUGGUUUGAUGUAUGUGCAGGUUACGUUGAAUGGUAACCAGAUACUGGCGAUGGUGGAUACGGGAGCAUCGCACAGUUGCGUGACGAAACGCGUGGUAAAGCAGUUCCGGUUGAAGUUGAAGGACUUAGGCUUCAAGUUGAAGGCAGUCAACUCUGAAGCCAAGCCAGUGUUGGGCGUGGCAACGGUGGAAUUGGAGUUGGGGCCGUGGAAGGGAUGGUGCAGCCUCAUGGCCAGUCAGAUUGAUGACUUUGACUUGAUCCUUGGCAAAGACUUCAUGGUUACCAAAAUUGACUUGCGGUCGGGAUACUGGCAAGUCCACAUAGCCCCAGGAGAUGAGAAAAAAACUACGGUGGUGACGAGGUAUGGUUCUUUUGAAUUCCUUGUCAUGACGUUCGACUUAACGAAUGCACCUGCUACAUUUUGUAGGCUGAUGAACAAUGUCUUGUAUGAAUACCUUGACAAGUUUGUUGUAGUGUACCUAGAUGACAUUGUUGUGUAUUCGGAGUUCCUAGAGGAGCAUGUAGGGCACUUGAGAGACGUAUUCCGCAAGUUGAGGGAAUACGAACUCUAUGUAAAGAAGGAAAAGUGUGAGUUUGGCAGGGAGCAGAUCACUUUUCUUGACCAUGUGGUGAGCAAUUGCCGGAUCCAGAUGGAUCGCAGGAAGGUCGAGGCGAUUCUGGACUGGCCCGCACCCCAGAAGGUCGCUGAACUAAGGUCAUUUUUUGGGCUGGCAAACUACUACCGGCGCUUUAUCCAGGGAUACUCGAGGAUUGUAGCACCUUUAACCGACCUACUGAAGAAGAACAGACCGUGGAUGUGAGAUUACGAAUGCGAGGAUGCAUUCAGAAUGUUGAAGGAAGCAGUCACUUCUGAACCUGUGUUGCAACUUCCGGAGUUCACAAAGACUUUCGAAAUGCACACCGACGCUUCCGACCGUGCAAUUGGAGGAGUGCUGAUGCAAGAUAAACACCCAAUUGCGUUUGAAAGCCGAAAGCUGAAGGAAUGAGAGCAGAGAUACAGCACGCACGAGAAAGAGAUGACGGCCGUAGUGCAUUGCCUGGAGAUCUGGAAGCACUACUUGUUGAGAACCAAGUUCGUGGUGGUGACCGACAAUGUGGCCAAUACGUACUUCAAAACGCAGAAAAAGCUGACCCCAAAGCAGGCUCGUUGGCAGGAGUUUCUGGCCGAAUUCGACUUCGACUGGCUGCACAAGCCAGGAAAGGAGAAAGCGGUUGCCGACGCACUUAGCCAAAAGUACGUCGAAGAGUACGUUACGGCCCUUAGCACUGUGGAAACGGACUUCCGGGACAAGAUUAAGGCGGAGUCCCCGAACGAUCCAGUGUACCAGACUCUGAUCGCUCAAGUUCGUGAAGGCAAAGUUUGUCGUUUUUGGCUUGAAGACGACUUACUUUUUGUCAAGGGUGGUAGAGCUUAUGUCCCGGCAGGAGGGGAACUUAGGCGACAGUUGCUGCGAGAGACCCACGACACUCCUUGGGUUGGUCAUCCCGGAGUGGAACGAAUGAGGGCCUUGCUGUUGCGGAGCUUCUACUAGCCUAAGAUGGAAGAAGAUAUUGAAGCAUACGUGAGAACAUGUCUUGUGUGCCAACAAGACAAGGUGGAAAGGAAGAAGGAGCCAGACUUGUUGCAGCCUUUGCCGAUCCCUGAUCGACCGUGGCAAUCGAUCUCAAUGGAUUUCAUUUCGGGAUUUCCUAAGGUCGAUGGUAUGGCUUCUGUUUUUGUAAUCGUAGAUCGAUUUUCUAAGUAUGCUAUCUUUAUCGGUGCGCCGAAGGCGUGCCCGGCUGAUGUUGCCGCUGAGUUGUUUCUCAGAAAUGUUGUGAAGUAAUUCGGUUUACCCGAAGAUAUCAUAAGUGAUAGGGAUACCAGAUUCACGGGGAGAUUCUGGACCGUGUUGUUCGGAUUGCUGGGAUCCGAACUUAAGUUCUCUACUGCCGCCCAUCCUCAGACCGACGGACAGACGGAGAGGAUCAAUGCCUUGCUGGAGGAGUACCUGAGGCAUUACGUGACGGCAAGUCAGAAGAAUUGGGUGGAGUUGCUGGAUGCUGCGCAGUUUUGCU
rnacentral:lncRNA from 1 species